GGGCCCGCACAAGCGGUGGAGUAUGUGGUUUAAUUCGAUGCAACGCGAAGAACCUUACCAGGGUUUGACAUCCUGCGAAUCUCUUGGAAACAGGAGAGUGCCUUCGGGAACGCAGUGACAGGUGGUGCAUGGCUGUCGUCAGCUCGUGUCGUGAGAUGUUGGGUUAAGUCCCGCAACGAGCGCAACCCACGUCUUUAGUUGCCAGCAUUUAGUUGGGCACUCUAGAGAGACUGCCGGUGAUAAACCGGAGGAAGGUGUGGAUGACGUCAAGUCAUCAUGCCCCUUACAUCCUGGGCUACACACGUGCUACAAUGGGAAAUACAGACGGACGCUAAGCCGCGAGGUGGUG
rnacentral:rRNA from 1 species